GGUGGAAUGGGCGAGUGGCUAGUCAGCGGCCUGCAAAGCCGUGUACACGGGUUCGAAUCCCGUUUCCACCU
rnacentral:tRNA from 1 species